rnacentral:rRNA from 1 species
GACGAACGCUGGUGGCGUGCCUAAUACAUGCAAGUAGAACGCUGAAGGAGGAGCUUGCUUCUCUGGAUGAGUUGCGAACGGGUGAGUAACGCGUAGGUAACCUGCCUGGUAGCGGGGGAUAACUAUUGGAAACGAUAGCUAAUACCGCAUAAGAGUAGAUGUCGCAUGACAUUUGCUUAAAAGGUGCAAUUGCAUCACUACCAGAUGGACCUGCGUUGUAUUAGCUAGUUGGUGAGGUAACGGCUCACCAAGGCAACGAUACAUAGCCGACCUGAGAGGGGGAUCGGCCACACUGGGACUGAGACACGGCCCAGACUCCUACGGGAGGCAGCAGGAGGGAAACUUCGGCAAUGGACGGAAGUCUGACCGAGCAACGCCGCGUGAGUGAAGAAGGGUGUCGGAUCGGAAAGCCCUGUUGUAAGAGAAGAACGAGUGUGAGAGUGGAAAGUUCACACUGUGACGGUAUCUUACCAGAAAGGGACGGCUAACUACGUG